rnacentral:rRNA from 1 species
AGAGUUUGAUCCUGGCUCAGGACGAACGCUGGCGGCGUGCUUAACACAUGCAAGUCGAGGGGGCUACUUCGGUAGUCACCGGCGAACGGGUGCGUAACGCGUGAGCGACCUGCCCCACCGGUGGGGAAUAGUCGGCCCAACGGCCGGGUAAUACCGCAUUCGCUCUUUCCGGGGCAUCCCGGGAAGAGGAAAGCUCUGGGCAACCAGGGCGCCGGGGGAGGGGCUCGCGGCCUAUCAGCUAGUUGGGGGGGUAACGGCCCACCAAGGCUACGACGGGUAGCUGGUCUGAGAGGAUGGCCAGCCACAUUGGGACUGAGAAACGGCCCAGACUCCUACGGGAGGCAGCAGUGGGGAAUCUUGCGCAAUGGCCGAAAGGCUGACGCAGCGACGCCGCGUGUGGGAUGAAGCAUUUCGGUGUGUAAACCACUGUUGCCCGGGACGAACAGCCUUUUUCGAGAGGCCUGACGGUACCGGGUGAGGAAGCACCGGCUAACUCCGUGCCAGCCGCCGCGGUAAUAC